AAUGUGUUGUAUAUUGGUGCCAUAUUAUUGUAUGCUAAUUCUGCAUGCUCUGAGUGUGACACCAUGCCAUUCCCAUUCAAUAUCUGAAGCAACAAAUUCAAUUCAAUUAACUUAGUUUUUUCUUCUUCUUCUUCUUCAGAGAGAGCAGCACCUCAGAGGCUGGUGUACCGACGAGCAACACUUCUGGAAAAUCCAUUCCAAAGUCGUGGAGGACGGGGUCAAGAGAAGCAAGCUUCAUGGAAAGGAACUAAGUACACAUACAGAGAGAGUAACUAAUGAUUAAUUCGUGAGGAGGAAUAAUAACAAAAUUCAACAAACUUUUGUAUGUACCGGCCAGUACUUGAAGUAAAUAAAUAAAAUUAAAUGAGUGAAAUGGGUAUGAUUAGGAAUUGGGGUUAUGUACCUCAACUUGAUUUUGCAGGGACUGAACAUAGUUAAUAAUUUCAUCCAGCAUUAAGGCCUUCCCAGUUACCUAUAUGUAAUAUUGAAAUCAAUUAGCUAUAGGGAUCAGAGAUUGAAAUUUAUAAUAAAAAUGGAAUAUUAUGUA